GUAUAACCUGUGCUCAACAUUUGGUAUUCUUGGAAAUGAGAAAAGAGAAGAAAGCCUUAGCCUUCUGAUCUAUUGUGGUUUACGUUGUUGGUCCUGCUGGGGUAGAAGAGUAUAGCAUCGCAAAAAUGUUUAAGAAUGAGAACACCUAUAUGAAUCAUCAAAAUCACUGGAUCAUUCCAUCUUGAGAACCUUGUCUCCUCAGGAGAGAAAGUCCUCAUUGUUGCAAGUUCCCUGAAAGAUUUGCAGAAGAAUUGGGCUCUUUUGUUUCUGCCCUUCAUUCAUCUUCCUUCCCUUUGCAAAAGCAAACACAUUUGCUUUCUGAAAUCAACAGCAUCAGCCAAUUCUGCUCGCCAUGGAUGAACCGCUAUACAACCUGUGUUUGAACCUUUUGGAAGCUUUGAUGCUGAGGUUGAAAACACCCAAGUGAUGUUCAUUUAUCCCACGUGGAAUUGCUUGAUACAUUGUGUUGCUAGAGUUAACACUGGCCAGUUGGUCUCUUUUGGUU